rnacentral:RNase_P_RNA from 1 species
UCAGACGGCCGGGCGGCCGCUCCGGUCCAGUGGCGAAAGCCGGGCCGGAGAGGAAAGUCCGGGCUCCACGGAAGGAGGGCGCCGGGAAACCCCCGGCGGGCCGGUUCGCCGGUUCAGGGAAAGCGCCGCAGAAAACAAACCGCCGGACAGUCGGUUCGCCGAUUGGCCGGCAAGGGUGAAACGGUGCGGUAAGAGCGCACCGCCCCGACUGCAAGGAAGGGGGCACGGCAAGCCCCGCCCGGAGCAAGACCGAAUAGGGAUGGACGCGCCGCUCCGGCGGCGCACGCGCCUUCCGAGCGCCAUCCGGGUAGGUCGCUAGAGGCGGCGGGCAACCGCCGCCCCAGAUGAAUGGUCGCCGCGGGCUUCGGCCCGUACAGAACCCGGCUUACAGGCCGUCUGACCUU